UACGGAGGAUCCAAGCGUUAUCCGGAUUCACUGGGUUUAAAGGGUGCGUAGGAGGGCAGGUAAGUCAGUGGUGAAAUCCCCGAGCUUAACUUGGGAACUGCCGUUGAUACUAUCUGUCUUGAAUGUUGUGGAGGUGAGCGGAAUAUGUCAUGUAGCGGUGAAAUGCUUAGAUAUGCCAUGGAACACCGAUUGCGAAGGCAGCUCACUACACGAUGAUUGACGCUGAUGCACGAAAGCGUGGGGAGCGAACAGG
rnacentral:rRNA from 1 species